rnacentral:lncRNA from 1 species
AGCGAAAUAGAUAUAUUUUAUAUCAAAUAAAUCUAUUUUGAGGUCCAAUACAACCUAAUUCUAACCGAAUUAACCCUAACCCUAACCAAACCCGCUCCACCCCACUGCACCCCUACCCAGCGAACGCCUCAGCCUCGCGAGGACCCCUUCUCUCCUCACGAUCCCUCCCCUCUUCCCCCUUUGAGCUCGAGCUCUCCCUCUCUCCUUUACCUCUACUCAUUUCCCUCUCCCUCUUCCUUAGAAUCUCCUCCAAGCUUUGAUCCCAUUCCAGAAUCGCCCUCGCUUUU